GACGAACGCUGGCGGCGUGCUUAACACAUGCAAGUCGAACGGAAAGGCCCUGCUUUUGUGGGGUGCUCGAGUGGCGAACGGGUGAGUAACACGUGAGUAACCUGCCCUUGACUUUGGGAUAACUUCAGGAAACUGGGCUAAUACCGGAUAGGAGCUCCCUCUGCAUGGUUGGGGUUGGAAAGUUUCGGCGGUUGGGGAUUGACUCGCGGCUUAUCAGCUUGUUGGUGGGGUAGUGGCUUACCAAGGCUUUGACGGGUAGCCGGCCUGAGAGGGUGACCGGCCACAUUGGGACUGAGACACGGCCCAGACUCCUACGGGAGGCAGCAGUGGGGAAUCUUGCACAAUGGGCGGAAGCCUGAUGCAGCAACGCCGCGUGCGGGAUGACGGCCUUCGGGUUGUAAACCGCUUUCGCCUGUGACGAAGCGUGAGUGACGGUAAUGGGUAAAGAAGCACCGGCUAACUACGUG
rnacentral:rRNA from 1 species